rnacentral:tRNA from 1 species
GCGAUAGUAGUGUAGUGGGAUCACGUGACCUUGCCAAGGUCACAACCCGGGUUCGAAUCCCGGCUUUCGCA